GGGGUUGUGGCUCAGUAGUAGAGCACUCGCCUAGCACAUGAGAGGCCCUGGGUUCGAUCCUCAACACCACA
rnacentral:tRNA from 1 species